rnacentral:rRNA from 1 species
AGAACGAACGCUGGCGGCAGGCCUAACACAUGCAAGUCGAACGCUCCGCAAGGGGAGUGGCAGACGGGUGAGUAACACGUGGGAACAUACCCUUUGGUUCGGAAUAACUCAGGGAAACUUGAGCUAAUACCGGAUACGCCCCCGGACUUGAUCCGGGGGGAAAGAUUUAUUGCCGAAGGAUUGGCCCGCGUCCGAUUAGCUAGUUGGUGAGGUAACGGCUCACCAAGGCGACGAUCGGUAGCUGGUCUGAGAGGAUGAUCAGCCACACUGGGACUGAGACACGGCCCAGACUCCUACGGGAGGCAGCAGUGGGGAAUAUUGGACAAUGGGCGCAAGCCUGAUCCAGCCAUGCCGCGUGAGUGAUGAAGGCCCUAGGGUUGUAAAGCUCUUUCGUCAGGGACGAUAAUGACGGUACCUGAAGAAGAACGCCCGGCUAACUUCGUCGCCAGCAGCCGC